UCCGGUUUGUCACCGGCAGUCUCCCUAGAGUUCUCAGCCGAACUGCUAGCAACUAGGGAUAGGGGUUGCGCUCGUUACGGGACUUAACCCAACACCUCACGGCACGAGCUGACGACAGCCAUGCAGCACCUGUGCUGGCCCCUUACGGACACGGGCUUUCACCCGCUUUAACCAGCAUGUCAAGCCUAGGUAAGGUUCUUCGCGUUGCAUCGAAUUAAGCCACAUGCUCCGCCGCUUGUGCGGGUCCCCGUCAAUUCCUUUGAGUUUUAGUCUUGCGACCGUACUUCCCAGGCGGAGAACUUAAUGCGUUAGCUACGGCACCGCGGGGGUCAACACCCGCGACAUCUAGUUCUCAUCGUUUACGGCGUGGACUAC
rnacentral:misc_RNA from 1 species